UGUGAACUCGAAGAGUAGGGCGGGACACGUGGUAUCCUGUCUGAAUAUGGGGGGACCAUCCUCCAAGGCUAAAUACUCCUGACUGACCGAUAGUGAACCAGUACCGUGAGGGAAAGGCGAAAAGAACCCCGGCGAGGGGAGUGAAAAAGAACCUGAAACCGUGUACGUACAAGCAGUGGGAGCACCUUCGGGUGUGACUGCGUACCUUUUGUAUAAUGGGUCAGCGACUUAUAUUCUGUAGCAAGGUUAACCGUAUAGGGGAGCCGAAGGGAAACCGAGUCUUAACUGGGCGUUAAGUUGCAGGGUAUAGACCCGAAACCCGGUGAUCUAGCCAUGGGCAGGUUGAAGGUUGGGUAACACUAACUGGAGGACCGAACCGACUAAUGUUGAAAAAUUAGCGGAUGACCUGUGGCUGGGGGUGAAAGGCCAAUCAAACCGGGAGAUAGCUGGUUCUCCCCGAAAGCUAUUUAGGUAGCGCCUCGUGAACUCAUCUUCGGGGGUAGAGCACUGUUUCGGCUAGGGGGCCAUCCCGGCUUACCAACCCGAUGCAAACUACGAAUACCGAAGAAUGUUAUCACGGGAGACACACGGCGGGUGCUAACGUCCGUCGUGAAGAGGGAAACAACCCAGACCGCCAGCUAAGGUCCCAAAGUCAUGGUUAAGUGGGAAACGAUGUGGGAAGGCACAGACAGCCAGGAUGUUGGCUUAGAAGCAGCCAUCAUUUAAAGAAAGCGUAAUAGCUCACUGGUCGAGUCGGCCUGCGCGGAAGAUGUAACGGGGCUAAACCAUGCACCGAAGCUGCGGCAGCGACGCUUAUGCGUUGUUGGGUAGGGGAGCGUUCUGUAAGCCGUUGAAGGUGUGCUGUGAGGCAUGCUGGAGGUAUCAGAAGUGCGAAUGCUGACAUAAGUAACGAUAAAGCGGGUGAAAAGCCCGCUCGCCGGAAGACCAAGGGUUCCUGUCCAACGUUAAUCGGGGCAGGGUGAGUCGACCCCUAAGGCGAGGCCGAAAGGCGUAGUCGAUGGGAAACAGGUUAAUAUUCCUGUACUUGGUGUUACUGCGAAGGGGGGACGGAGAAGGCUAUGUCAGCCGGGCGACGGUUGUCCCGGUUUAAGCAUGUAGGCGGAGGUUCCAGGUAAAUCCGGUACCUUGUUAACGCUGAGGUGUGAUGACGAGGCACUACGGUGCUGAAGUGAUAAAUGCCCUGCUUCCAGGAAAAGCCUCUAAGCAUCAGGUAACACGAAAUCGUACCCCAAACCGACACAGGUGGUCAGGUAGAGAAUACCAAGGCGCUUGAGAGAACUCGGGUGAAGGAACUAGGCAAAAUGGUGCCGUAACUUCGGGAGAAGGCACGCUGA
rnacentral:rRNA from 1 species